rfam:Vibrio azureus NBRC 104587 DNA, contig: VAZ01S010.
UGUACUUUUUAACGUAUCAGGGUCCAGCAGCAUAAAACCCCGACUUUCGGGGUUUUUUGUUAUCUGAGUUUUUUACUCGGGUAAUGCUUGGUUUUUUGAUUGGGCUCUGAGCCCUUUUUUU